UUAUUAAAUGUGUUAAAAAAUUUGUAUGAAGGAACAAGUAUUUACUUUCCGGGCGAAACAAGUACCAAUAGAGGGGAUCAUCCUUGUACAAUGAAAUCGAAUCAUCGAUUGCAAUAUCUUUAAGUUGCAGAUUUCUUUGGAAUCAAUGUAUAAUGGAUUCAGUUCAGAGAUAAAGUGGCCACCGCAAAACGCCUUUUUUGAGAGGAGCUCCCGGAGAUCAGCUGUAGUUCCUUUCCGAAUAAAUAUUUUUACUUAUACUAAGUCUUGAAGUACAGUUAUAUACUAUGCAUUUAAAAGUUUUCUCAGAAAAAAACUCUCGAAAAAAUUGCUUAUUUCGGCCUUGUAACUGUGUAUAACCACUUAAAGAUACUCAAGUGUUUGCUGAAUUGACCUUAAAAACGGCGAAAGCCUAUAGAACCGUUGCUAUAUUGUGUUCUAUUGUUCUUAUUCAAUUUCUUUGCUUUUGUUUUUGAAUAUUAUCAAAUACAGUGUCUUACCUGAACUCCUGACCAUUUCGCAUCGAUUAAUUGACCGUUCCUCAGCGUUUUCGAUCUUCUAUUAUUCACCUGGGAAUCCGACAGAUGGCGUUGCUGCAAGGUGCAAUUGAAGGCGUCAUAAAGUUCAAGAACGAGGCGAGCGUACGUGCCGUUCCGUUACAAAUCUUUCAUUUCGUUCUUCAUAAUAUUUUGCAUGAGAUGAGUGAAGCUGGCUCAAUCGGACAAUUCACAAAGGACAUUGAGUUGGUUUCCGAUGAUCUAUGUAGAAACAACCUAUCUUCUUAUUAAGGUCUUUAGUCCCAGCGAUGAAAAAAAGAAUUCAAAUGGUAAAGAACUGAAAGACCGACUAAGGGCAAACAAUUUCCCGAAUUUGUAAUGAAACUAGUACAAUGUAAAUACUUAGAUAAUGGGUUAUAAUAAUGAUAAUAAUUCAUGUUUUUAUUUUUAUUUAUUGGCGCACAUUCAGCAUUUAUAUAAGAAACAUAUGUACUAUGGGUAAC